ACCUCGGAUCAGGUACGGAUACCCGCUGAACUUAAGCAUAUCAAUAACCGGAGGAA
rnacentral:rRNA from 1 species